AAAAGCAGACCCACCUGUUUUUAAAUAUAUUUGGUAAGUCAUCUUACUUUGUUUGAUGAGAAACCAAAGAGCUCGAAUAUUUUCCUUUUGCUUUCAUGGUGUGAAUUCCCAUGGUUUAGUUUAAAUACUUAGCUUUAAUUUGCAGCAACAUGGAUGCUCCUGGAGAA